rnacentral:rRNA from 1 species
AUGAUUGCAACCAUGGCCAGUGCUUCUUGUAAAAGAAAAGAUGCAUUACUACAGAAACAUCAUGACAAUAUUGUCUGGCAAUUAGAAAAUGGGGAGAUUCUUAAAGGAAGAGGCAAGCAUCAAGAGACAACCUUAGCUAUUUCUCGUGGAAGAGUGCCCAUCAAGAGACCUGGUGAUAAGCAAUGGGGAUCUCACUAUAGGACAUUGAUUCGGCUCCAUCAAAUGUGGAAUUCGGUGAUUCAAGUGCUACAUGCUAUUUCUCGUGAAGGGAAUGAUGCAGAUGAUAGAGGCAACACAUCAGACUCGUAUCGGGCCUCCAAGCGCAGAGUUUUGUAG